UGUGGGGGACACAGUUUUACCUGGGAAUCUGGGCCAGGAUUGAAUGAAAACCCGUCUUCCAGGCCCAAGGGGUCAGGGUGGCCAUUUCGAUGCCUCCUUUAUGUUUUAACUACAUUUGUGCACUAUCCUGAACUUCCCGGCAUGAACGUGCCCAGAGCCUGUGUCUCCAGCUUUGCCCUCCUGGUCCCGUCACAGAGCGUCAGGGCCACCGGAGGGGGAUUACAACCUGCUCAGGCUGCUGCCACCGGCGCCGGUGACAGCCCCAGGGAGAGCUCCCCUUCCAGCGGGGAAUCGCGGCCCCGGGUCUCUCUCUGGCAUCGCGGUGUGCGCCGCCCCGCCUGCAGCAGCUUCGCGAUGAGUCAGAAUAAAUUAGCAUGCUAACGACGGAGAACAUGCACAGGAACCA